AUGUUGUGGCAACACCAACUUCCCUUGGGAAAUUUAUUCAGUGCCUUCACCAUUUACUGAUGAACAUGAUGGCAUACUGAAGAGUCUAAUUCAGAAAGAGAAUGGAGAGGGUAGAGAAAUCAGAGAGUGACGGAAGAAAGCUGACCUUCAGCCUCAAAGUAAAACAUCAAGAAGGAAAUGGUCAAGAGAAUGGUAUAAUGAGUUUUGUGCAAGAAAAAGGAAUCUUCCUGGAGGAUGUGGGCUUGUGCUGAAUCUUCCAGUAAUGGGGAACAGAAAGCUGGAGUCUCUGAGAACUAACAGAACCUCCCUGCUUGUCAUGCCUCUUGAAAUUCAAGGAUUCCAGGAUAUAAAUUGUUCUGGCUCAGAAGUCAGGAACUGGCUUGUGGACUCUGCAGCCAAGUUGAAUUCUGAGUCUGCAGCUGUGAAUGAGCCUGAAGAGGCUAUCUCCUUGGUUAUUUGGAGCAUGUGCUAUGAGAGCAGAGAAAACCAGAUAGCUGGGAUAACCUCUUCCCUUCAAAUAGAGGAGACAGCUGAGUUCCCCAGAGGGGGCAUCUGAAGCACAGGACAAAAUAAUGUGCAGUGUCACCGAGUCACUGGUCCCAUCAUAGACAAUUUGUUUUUGAAGACAGGAGAAACAUCUUCACAGACUCUGGAGGGUAGACACCUGUGGAUUAGACACCAGAGAAAUUAUUAGACAGCUAUUUCGGCAAGCCUACUGAGAGAGCUCAUGCAGCUCCACCUCCCAUCAUCUACACAGCCUGCCUCUACCGGUGUAGGGUCAGAAUAGGUGUAAGUAAAUUGUUUGCAAAUCUGUG